GUAGGUGGCAAGCGUUGUCCGGAAUUAUUGGGCGUAAAGCGCGCGCAGGCGGUUCUUUAAGCCUGAUGUGAAAGCCCACGGCUCAACCGUGGAGGGUCAUUGGAAACUGGAGAACUUGAGUACAGAAGAGGAAAGCGGAAUUCCACGUGUAGCGGUGAAAUGCGUAGAGAUGUGGAGGAACACCAGUGGCGAAGGCGGCUUUCUGGUCUGUAACUGACGCUGAGGCGCGAAAGCGUGGGGAGCAAACAGGGAUUAGAUACCCUGGUAGUCCACGCCGUAAACGAUGAGUGCUAAGUGUUAGGGGGUUUCCGCCCCCUUAGUGCUGCAGCUAACGCAUUAAGCACUCCGCCUGGGGAUACGGCCGCAAGGCUG
rnacentral:rRNA from 1 species